rnacentral:tRNA from 1 species
GGGAGUUUGGUCUAGUGGUAUGAUUCUCGCUUCGGGUGCGAGAGGCCGCUAGAUGAUUCUGGCAACUCCCC